rnacentral:rRNA from 1 species
AUUGAACGCUGGCGGCAGGCUUAACACAUGCAAGUCGAGCGGUAGCACAAGAGAGCUUGCCCUCUGGGUGACGAGCGGCGGGCGGGUGAGUAAUGUCCGGGAAACUGCCUGAUGGAGGGGGAUAACUACUGGAAACGGUAGCUAAUACCGCAUAACGUCGCAAGACCAAAGAGGGGGACCUUCGGGCCUCUUGCCCUCAGAUGUGCCCAGAUGGGAUUAGCUAGUAGGUGGGGUAAUGGCUCACCUAGGCGACGAUCCCUAUCUGGUCUGAGAGGAUGACCAGCCACACUGGAACUGAGACACGGUCCAGACUCCUACGGGAGGCAGCAGUGGGGAAUAUUGCACAAUGGGCGAAAGCCUGAUGCAGCCAUGCCGCGUGUGUGAAGAAGGCCUUCGGGUUGUAAAGCACUUUCGGCGAGGAGGAAGGUGGUGAACUUAAUACGUUCAUCAAUUGACGUUACUCACAGAAGAAGCACCGGCUAACUCCGUG